AUUGAACGCUGGCGGCAUGCCUAACACAUGCAAGUCGCACGCGGAAGGGGGCAACCCCGAGUAGAGUGGCGGACGGGUGCGUAAUACGUAGGAAUCUACCUGAUAGUGGGGGACAACCCGGCGAAAGCCGGGCUAAUACCGCAUACGACCUAUGGGUGAAAGCCGGGGACCGCAAGGCCUGGCGCUAUUAGAUGAGCCUGCGUCGGAUUAGCUAGUUGGUGAGGUAAAGGCUACCAAGGCGACGAUCCGUAGCUGGUCUGAGAGGAUGACCAGCCACACUGGGACUGAGACACGGCCCAGACUCCUACGGGAGGCAGCAGUGGGGAAUAUUGGACAAUGGGCGCAAGCCUGA
rnacentral:rRNA from 1 species